UCCGAGGUAGCUCAGCUUGGCAGAGCAACGGGCUGUUAACCCGUGUUGCGCUGGUUCGAAUCUAGCCCUUGGAG
rnacentral:tRNA from 1 species